rnacentral:rRNA from 1 species
UACGAAGGGGGCUAGCGUUGCUCGGAAUUACUGGGCGUAAAGGGAGCGUAGGCGGACAUUUAAGUCAGGGGUGAAAUCCCGGGGCUCAACCCCGGAAUGGCCUUCGAGACUGGUGGUCUUGAGUUCGAGAGAGGUGAGUGGAAUUCCGAGUGUAGAGGUGAAAUUCGUAGAUAUUCGGAAGAACACCAGUGGCGAAGGCGACAUACUGGCUCAUUACUGACGCUGAGGCUCGAAAGCGUGGGGAGCAAACAGG